UGAGAACCGUUUCUCCCUAGUUUUCCUUUUUUACCACAUGUAGACAUCCUGAUGAAGGAACUUGCCUACCUUCUAAGGCUUCCUCUACCACAAUGCCCAUCACUCUAUAUUCUUUGACAUUUUAUACCUUCAGAGCAAAACUUAAUCCUAUGCCUAUUGAUUCUCAAUGUCUUCAAAUACUUCUAACAACUGCAGAGCUCACACUCAGCGCUGCAAGAACAGUAACACAACACUUUUAUAUUUUAUCUGCAUUUUAUUUCUCCUGGGUCCCAGUUCUGCCAGCUCACAGAAAACUUAACCAUUCUUUGGGUUCUCUUCUACAAAAUCAGACUGAAGUUAUCUCUAGUAUCUGUUCCAUGAGCAAGAAUUGACACAUUUUGCUUUUGGAAAAUCAGGUUUACACAGGUUCCCCUUUUUCUUCUUGUGAAUCCACAAGAAGAAGUGACAGACACAGGCUAGUGGCGGGGUCAGCCUUUCCUCCCCUCUCGCUUGUUGUGUUGCCUAUGUGAUCCUGAUCAUCAACUGCAGUCUGAGUUGGAUGUUGCCUUCAUCACAAAGGUUCCCCUCAGCCCUCCUCAGGGGAAUUCUCUGCGCCUGAUCUGAACUCCUGCAGCAUUCGAUCCAUGCCUCUAUUAAAGCCUCAUUACGGUGUGCGGUGAACUGGGUUAUCACCUUCAUAUCUAACCUCCUCCGUCAGAGUAGCCACCAUGUCUUACUCAUCCAUAAGCUCUCUCUUAUAAUAGAGCAUUGCAAGGAGAUGCUCAUAAUAUUUAAAGAAAGAAUACAUCAGAUGUGGCUUUAUCAAGCAAAGGUAUUUCCACAAACUGAUGAAAAUUUGGAAUCAAAGGAUGCUGGACUCUGUUAUUGCCCAUGCCUACAAUGUCAGGAUACACUUCAAAAGCAGAAUGAUAAACUUAUGACUGAUUGUGAAGGACUAUACUACUGUAGUAGCACGGGAAAUAUUACAGAGAGCAAAGGAACAGAGAGAAAAUGGCAUCAAUCUUUCAUUUAACUGGUUAACUCUCCAAAAUGCCCACAACAGCAAGGGCUAUUCCAGGCUGAAGCAAGGAGCACGGAAACGCACCCAGUUCUCCCUGUGUAAAGGGCAGCAACUCAGGUACUUCAGCCAUCACCGUUGCCUUUCAUGGUGCAAAGAACAAAAGAACUGCAGAUUUUGGAAGAUGCUGGAUGUGGGUUUAUUAAUCAGUGACCCAAAUGAGCCCUUACAGACUUUGAGGCACAUGCUGAAGAAAAGCAUGGCAAGCAUGUUUGAUGAGAUUGUAUGCAAAGAUGAUGAGGAGAAAGAUUCAAGAUGACCUUCUGCUAUCUAAUCACAAAAG